rnacentral:rRNA from 1 species
AGUGAACGCUGGCGGCAUGCCUAAUACAUGCAAGUCGAACGGCAGCACAGUAAGAGCUUGUUCUUACUGUUGGCGAGUGGCGGACGGGUGAGGCAUACAUAGGAAUCUACUUUUUCUUGGGUGAUAACGGAAGGAAACAUACACUAAUACCUCAUACUACCUACGGGUGAGAGCAAGAGUGCUUCACAGCUUUGGCGAUUGAAAUAGACGAUUUCGCAUUAGCUAGUUGGUUAGGUAACGGCCCACCAAGGCAACGAUGCGUAGCUGAUCUGAGAGGGUGAUCAGCCACACUGGAACUGAGACACGGUCCAGACUCCUACGGGAGGCAGCAGUAGGGAAUCUUGCGCAAUGGGCGAAAGCCUGACGGAGCAAUGCCGCGUGAGUGAUGAAGGCCUUCGGAUCGUAAAACUCUGUUAUUAGGGAAGAACAGCUGUGUAAGUAUCUCUGGAUAUCUUGACGGUACCUAAUCAGAAAGCCCCGGCUAACUACGUG